GAUUUAGAAGAUGCAAGCAUACCUGAUGAGCAAGAAAGCAGUGUUGGACAAGAGAAUUUGAACCUCAGAAUAAAAGAGCUGGAGAAAUUGGAGCAAAAACUGAAAUGCACUUUAGACGACUACAUGGAGUCAGAUUCUGUGCUAAGAAAUAGGAUGAAAGAACUGGAGCUGUCACACAGAACACUUCUUGUAAUGAUUGAUCAACUAAACGUGAAAGUGCACCAUUUUGAAAAGGCAAAUGUGCAUGUUAAAGGGAAACUGCGAGAAGUUUGGGAGGAGCUGCUGAGCUUGGUUGAAAACCAAGAGAAGUCAGAGAAGAAACAAAAGGAGAAAUUACAUUGGCUUCUGGAGCAGCUGAAGACAAAAGAAAAUGAACUAAAAAGCCAAUCUGAGUAUUUUGAGCACUACAAACAAAGGCAGAAGCAACAGACAUCAGUGCUGAGAAAAAGGGAAUGUUACCUUCAGGAUGAGGUGUUUAGACUGGAAAAGCAAGUGCUAGAUCUCAGUGCCCAUAUUGCUCUUUUGACAUCUGAGUUAGGAGAGGGAAUGGCACAGGGUCUCCAUAAGAAGCUGGAAUCAGCAUCCAAAGGCACGCAGAGCUAUAAGCAUUCUAAUAUGCAACUCACAGAAUUGAAAAACUCCAUUGGAAAUGUGGAGCAUGACAUGAAAAUCCACUUUGAGUCAUUUCAGAAAAAUCUGAAGUUCUUAAGGGAUAAAGAGGAGGACAACAGAAGAGAAAGAGCAGACCUGCUGACUCAGCUCCAGUGCUCCCAGGACACCGAAGACUUUCUCAGGAGAAAAUUGGAAGAAUCUUGUCAUCAUGUCUAUAAUCUGAAACUAUCUGAAAUCAAACUACAGGAACAAGUGAACAAGCUUUUGGAUGAAAACAAGUCUUUAAAAUAUCAAGCUAGGGUGAGGUUAAAAAAGAAAGAAGAAAAGGACUUGCAGCUUACAAGACCAGAAAGUACAGACAACAGUGCUGACUUGAACAGAGACCUACACCAGCAAGAUGUUCAAAACCAGAAAAGGGGAGCAAUCACAGAUCAACAGAGAAGCAGAGCUGCUCAAACUCCAAUUGUGCUGCUGCAUGCCAUGGAGUAUGUAACAGAAACACUGGGAUACAGCUGUGAUGGGCCUAAACAGACAAAAAGGCUACGAGAAGAACUGCUGCCAGUUUUGGAGCACAAUUCCAACACCCUUGCAAAUGCUGCUGAAGAACUCGGUUCUGCUAAGACCAAACUGGUCACCCUAGGAACAAAAAGUACAGGUGCUUCAGAAGACAGUUUCACGUUGUUUAGAUGUACCCCCAGCUAUUCUAUGGCAAGACUGCUUCCACCUUGCUCUGAAAAAGUAACUAACGGAGAAACAAGCAAAGGAAACAAAGAUGGAGAAUACUUUUCUUUCUUGAAAGAACAAGCUAUACAUCUACCAGCAAAAAUGUUCCCUGUUUCUGUGGUUGAAGAUUUGAUGAGAAACAAACCCAACAUUAUCUUGUUAAAACCGGAAAGCUAUGAGGUAGAGGCUGUCACAACAGUGAAGAAAGUGAGGAGUUUGGAUUUCAGUGGGGCAAAUACCAGUCUUUGCUUGGAUGGUCUCUGUGUUGUUACAGAAGAAGGUUUUUCUGAUAAAGCUCCUACAUCUCUUUGCGGAAAUAUUCCAUGUUCUAUGAUUAAAAAUUUUGCAUCCUCUCUUCAAAAAUACAGAGUGGAAAAGCAUCACCAAAAGAAAUUAAUUCUACCAAAAAGUGAAAGUAAGAAUAAAAGUUCAGAUAAAAGUGUUCAUGAUAGAAAAUAUCACCAAAAAAUCUUUAGAUCGAGAAUUAAAGGAGAAGAAAUACAGACUGAGAAAUCCCAAGUACAACAGAUAAUCUCUGUUUUUGGGGAAAAUUCUAAUGUUUUAAAUAAGAGAGGUUUGAUAAAGCCUGAGAAUCAGGGAAUUGAAGCCAAAGACAAACGAGGUACUCCACAAGGUGUCCACAAAAUAUCUGUGCAUGUGAAAGACUUUCAGAUGCAUUUCAGAGAGAGUCCUGAACGAGUGGAGAAACAAGGAAGACUCACAGAAAUCUGCAUAUCUGAUGUGAUGAGGGUGUGCAAAGGUGGAGACACGAUAAAAAUGGGAGAGGAAAAGAAGAAACCUCAGAAGACAACUCACCAAAUAAACCCUUCAAGAAAUAUUGGACUGAAAGAAAAAAAAGUCCAGUCCCUGAAACUACAUGAAUCAAAUGAGAAUAAUUUCUCAUGUCAGGAAAUUGCUGCUGAAAGCAUGCAAUGUACGUACUCUCAGAAAUGUUUUUGGUCAGAGGAAGAGGGUAAUCCACUAAACAUAUUGUUUCCUAUGCAGAAGAGGUCAUUGUGUUUAAGCAAACAGUUCUUGUCAGAGAACAAUUUUUCUGAAUAUUUCUUUCACUUGUCACCACCAGCAGCGGUUCAUGAGUGUAAUAUGAAAACAUAUGUAUUGGAAAAAUUAGUGGCAAUGUGUUCACAGAGGAUAUUUCUGCUGAUGCAAGAGAAUGAAAACUACUUUAAAAAGGUCUGUGUAUUACAAGAGGAGAAUGAGAGAUGCGUUCAGAAGAUGCGUGCACUGGAAGAGGACAUGAAUGCAUAUUUUCAGUACGCUUUAGAAGCUGAUGAUGAUAACAGUGUUUCUUUUCAAAAUUUACUCAAUGAGAAUGAAAUUGUUGGUAAAUGUUAUAAUGUGUCAGAAGGAAAUACCAAGAGUCCAGGAACAAUUUUUGCUAAAACCAUCUCUAAGAAUCUCUCUUACAUUGAUGAGAGAAGUAGGAAUUUGGGGAAAGACUUAUUACCAAUUGAAUUAGAUAAACUUCCCAAGAGUGUUUUACCUCUAGAUAGAAAGAAAAUUAGAUAUUUUCAGCUACUUUCUGACCUAAAAGAAGAAAGAAGAAGGUGCUUCAAAGAAAUGGCUAAAUUAUUACAAGACAAGGAAAACUAUAUAGCAAAAUAUAAUGAAUUAACACAUGAGAGAGAGGGAAACUUAAAAAGAAUAUCUCUUUUAGAAGGUGAAAAGGAAAAUUUAUUGGUAAGUUUGGCAGAUAUAAAAUGUGAACAAGAUAAAUACCGGACCUUGGUCUCAGAACUUCAGGAGUGCAAAACUAGCUGUUAUCAGACUAUUUCUGACUUACAGGAGGAAAAAUGUAUCCUGAAAAGAGCUAUAGACCAAAUUAAAAAAGAAAAUGCAGAACAACUUGGUGAGUUUCAGAAAGCAAAUGCUGACUUCAUUUUAGAAAAUAACAAAUUGAAAGAAUUAAUGUGUUCUUUGGGUUUCUCCUAUGAAGAUCUGAGGAAAGAAAUAAGUUUGGGAACAAAGGAAAAGGUAGUAAAAAUAAAAGAAGAAAAUAAAACUCAACAGUAUGGUGUUAAGCCAAGGAAAGUUGAAACAGCGUGUGGUGUAACUCAGACUGAAGAAGAAGGAAGAGACACGUCCAGCUAUUUCCACAGCAAAGAGAGCAGGAGGUCUGAAAGCUACAGUGCGAUGAAAGAACAAGUGGAAAGGACAAAAGAGGAGUUAAAAACACAGCAAAAAGAAUUAGAAAAAUCAAAGAGAGAGGUAAGCUCGACAUUGAUGCAGUUCUGAAGAGCAAAUUUGUUUUCUUCUUUGUUUUCUUACAUGGCUGCUUUUUCUGCCAGUGCUUAAUGUUUUUACUAUAGGGGAAGUCUCUGAUCUGCAGAACCAAGAUCUUUCAGCUAAGUGAUGAAUUGCAUAGUUAUUCAGUUUUGGUCAGAAUUUCCGGUGAAGCUGCAUUCCUUCAGCAUGCUUCGACAGAAACUGAGGGGUUAAUAAAGACACUCCAAACAAAAUUUUUGCUGCAGCCAGCUCUGGCCUCCCUCCCCCUCAUUAGGAAUGAAGAGUAAGAAGUAUCCUCACAUGAGGAUUAUGGCAAACCUGAAUUCAGAGUAAUUUUUGAAGAAGAGGAGAAGGAGCAUAAAAUUUGACUCUGCCAAGUGGUUUUGCUGUACCAAGUGAUAGUGCAAAGUAUGUGCACUUCCUCAUCUCUUGACAUGUAUGUGAUAAUAACCAUCUCCAUGGAAAUUCUUGUUUGAAUGGAGAGCUAGUUCUGUGCUUCUGUACAGCAAAUCUGUGGUUUUAAUACCAACAGAGGAAGCUAAGCUUUCUGUGUUGUACCUUUCCUAACACAUCAGCUUUAAUAUUUCUAUUUUUAUUUCACAAUCUCCAUGUCCUGUUUAUCUUAACAGUAUUGCUUUAUGGCAUGCUUGAAUUUAUGGGUCUGUUUCACACAGUAAGAAGCAUCAUGCAGACUGUCUGUGGAAAAACAUCAACAAUAACAAAUGUUAUACUGG
ensembl:lncRNA